rnacentral:rRNA from 1 species
CGCGGCCUAUCAGCUUGUUGGUGGGGUGAUGGCCUACCAAGGCGACGACGGGUAGCCGGCCUGAGAGGGUGUCCGGCCACACUGGGACUGAGAUACGGCCCAGACUCCUACGGGAGGCAGCAGUGGGGAAUAUUGCACAAUGGGCGCAAGCCUGAUGCAGCGACGCCGCGUGGGGGAUGACGGCCUUCGGGUUGUAAACCUCUUUCACCAUCGGCGAAGCCAGAUGCUUUUGUGUCUGGUGACGGUAGGUGGAGAAGAAGCACCGGCCAACUACGUGCCAGCAGCCGCGGUAAUACGUAGGGUGCGAGCGUUGUCCGGAAUUACUGGGCGUAAAGAGCUCGUAGGUGGUUUGUCGCGUUGUCCGUGAAAUUCCCUGGCUUAACUGGGGGCGUGCGGGCGAUACGGGCAGACUGGAGUACUGCAGGGGAGACUGGAAUUCCUGGUGUAGCGGUGGAAUGCGCAGAUAUCAGGAGGAACACCGGUGGCGAAGGCGGGUCUCUGGGCAGUAACUGACGCUGAGGAGCGAAAGCGUGGGGAGCGAACAGGAUUAGAUACCCUGGUAGUCCACGCCGUAAACGGUGGGUACUAGGUGUGGGUUUCCUUCCUUGGGAUCCGUGCCGUAGCUAACGCAUUAAGUACCCCGCCUGGGGAGUACGG